GCACAAGCGGUGGAGUAUGUGGUUUAAUUCGAUGCAACGCGAAGAACCUUACCUGGUCUUGACAUCCCGGAGACCCUUAGGAAACUAGGGGUGCUUCCAUCUGGAAGAAUCUGGAGACAGGUGCUGCAUGGCUGUCGUCAGCUCGUGUCGUGAGAUGUUGGGUUAAGUCCCGCAACGAGCGCAACCCUUGCCUUUAGUUGCCAGCAGUUCGGCUGGGCACUCUAAAGGGACUGCCGGUGUUAAACCGGAGGAAGGUGGGGAUGACGUCAAGUCCUCAUGGCCUUUAUGACCAGGGCUACACACGUACUACAAUGGCCGAUACAAAGGGCAGCGACACUGCGAGGUGAAGCCAAUCCCGUAAAAUCGGUCUCAGUCCGGAUUGGAGUCUGCAACUCGACUCCAUGAAGUUGGAAUCGCUAGUAAUCGUGGAUCAGCAUGCCACGGUGAAUACGUUCCCGGGCCUU
rnacentral:rRNA from 1 species